rnacentral:tRNA from 1 species
GUAGUGGCUCAGUGGUAGAGCACUUGCCUGGCAUGUUUGAGGUCCUGGGUUAGAUCCUCAGCACUAUA